AUGGCUAAACUCUUGGAGAUACUUGCGCGGCCUCCAUAUUCAUUAGCUGCUGCCUCUGAUGGCAAGGGCCAUCUGUUUACCUUUGCCAAACUGCCACAAAGUGUAUAUCCAGUGGAAGUCCGGUCACGGACCUACAAUGCAUCAGCAGUGCUCAAGCCGGACCUGCAGCUGAGGCUACCCCUUCGGCCGCCUGUGACUAAAGGGAUCUUGCCGGCUCUUGAUGCCAUUGUGCGUGAGGCCUCUAGCUCAGGCAAGAUUAUCAUCGGUCAGACAUUUUAUUCACAGCAGCAGCGUCCUAAGAUCAGCUCUCAUGGGGCCUUUACUACCGAAGCUCUGGAAGGAACCAUGCAGACCCUAAAAGCCACCGAGCAAGGGCUGGUGCUAUGUGUGGACUAUUCAGUUAUGGAGUUUUGCCGAGAUGGAAGCAAAGUUCUGGAUCUUGUUAAGCACUUGGUGAAGCGGUUUGACACUGAUAUUCCCUUUGACAUGGAAACAGCUCUAGACCAGAAGCAACGGAAAUAUUUGGAGAGCAAGCUGAAAGGCCUCUGUAUCACAGUGAAUUACCUGAAGAAGUCCUCCAAAGGGAAAGACAAUGGGACCAGAAUUCGGAAGUACAAGGUUCAAGGUUUGACAGCUCAGCCUGCGCAACUUAUCACAUUCCAGGACUUUGAUUCAGGGGAGCCUCUUAAGCUCGUUGAGCAUUAUGGUAAGGAGCAUGGAGUAGCCAUUCGGUAUAAGAUGCUUCCAUGCUUGGAUUUGAGCACGAAACAUGGCAGACCAAAUUAUAUCCCGAUUGAGCUCUGUAGUCUUCAUCAACGGCAGAAGUAUCCCAAGGACAAUACGCUCAAGGGUUCCAACCUGAAGCCAAGGGACAAGCCACCCGAAUCAAAUGCCCGGAAAGAUAUGAUUCUGGAUAUGGUAAAACCUCCAGAAGGGCCUUGCAGUGGUAGCAGAGGCGAGCAAUUUAACAUUACAUUGAACAGAGAGAUGACAGAAGUCACGGGUACUAUUCUUGCUCCCCCCACCCUUACACUCGGCUCCUCCAAUGGCCGCUGCAAGUACGAUAUCAGGAAGAAAAACUGCCAGUGGAACCUCAUGAAUUGGAUGAAACUGGUAGACGGCAAAGUACUGAAGUGCUGGGGCAUUCUCGACUUCAGUGCAACGCCAUCUCACUCUGGCCAGGAAAGGCUUCAUGGAAACAAGUUCAUUGAGAAUAUCGUCAACAAGUGUGUUCACCUUGGUAUUCAGAUGCAAAGAGAAGGCUGUUUUGUGCGUUGUUCAGCAAUGUCGGUACUGUCUGAUCCGGGCAAACUACGUGAGGAGCUUAUCCAGGUGAAGAAGGAUGCCGAGGAGCACACGCAGAAGAAGCUACAACUCCUCUUCUGCCCGAUGUCUGAGCAGCACCGUGGGUACAAGGUACUGAAGAUGAUCUGCGAGACAGAGCUGGGGAUCCAAACCCAGUGUCUGUUGAGCCACCUCGCAAACAAAGGCGAUGGCCAGGACCAGUACUUGUCCAACCUUGUCCUCAAGAUCAACAUCAAGCUCGGGGGAAGCAACAUGCAGCUAUCUGACCAGCUUCCAAAGGUGACUGGCUCACGUUUCAUGUUCAUCGGUGCGGACGUGAACCACCCGCCUCCAGGAGACACGGAGAGUCUGUCGAUAGCAGCUGUUGUGGCGUCCAUGGAUUGCCCUAGCGCCAGCCAGUACGUGCCGAGAAUCCGUGCCCAGAAGGGCGGCAAGGAGGAGAUCGUUAACCUCGGUACCAUGUGUAAGGAGCUCAUCCAAGUCUACAAGGAGAGGAACGACGGCUUCAAGCCAGACAAGAUCAUUUACUUCCGAGACGGCGUGAGCGACGAGCAGUUCCGUACGGUCCUCGACAAGGAGCUAGUGUCGAUGAAGGAGGGCAUCUGCGAGGACGGCUACUCGCCGACGAUCACAGUGAUCGUGGCCAAGAAGCGGCACCACACGCGGUUGUUCCCCAACGACAGAAAGGAGCUGCGGACGGAUAACGGCAAUGUGCUCCCUGGCACGGUCGUCGACACCACCGUGGUCGACGGGUCGCACGAUGACUUCUUCCUGUGCAGCCACGACGGGCUGCACGGGACGAGCCGGCCGACGCACUACUACAUGCUGAAGGACGAUCACGGCUUCGAGCGCGUGGACCUGCACAAGCUGGUGUACAGCAUGUGCUUCAUGUUCGCUCGCUGCACCAAGCCGGUGUCGCUGACGGCGCCCAUCAAGUACGCCGACACCGUGGCCUACCGCGGCAGGGACUACUACGACAACAGGAUGGUGUCCCAGCGGCCUCCGUCCGGGCCGUCAUCGUCGGCCUCCGUCCCCGCGGGUGCUCCCCUGUUCUUGGAUAUGCCCGAGGUGCAUGCGGAUCUCAAGGACAGCAUGUUCUUCAUCUGA
rnacentral:rRNA from 1 species